UGCAGGACGUCUAUUUCAUGCAAACACUUCUGUUUAGCAUUGGUGAAAGCAAAUUUGCUGGAGCAAAUUGCCGUCGACGGGCCAAUGACUCAUCCAGAGUCACACUGUUGGCUGACCGGAUGGAUGCAGGCGAGCACCAAUGUCCACGUGGUCGCCUUGAACUCCAGCAUGGGGAUGGAAGCAGCAGCUGGGACUUCCCGUUUGGCCUCAAGGCUGCUGCCAGCCACGUUGGGAGGCGCCAAGCUGGUCCGCGCUGGUGUACCACGUGUUGUUGACGUGUUGCCAUUUGUAAUGUUUGUGUCGCCAGUUAGUGCCCCCCGGCGGGCACGAUUGAAACAGCAGAAGGAGCGCGCGCACACACACACACACACACACACACACAAGUGGACUGCAGCAUGCAAUCAUGACGUGCCCAUCGUAGCUUUGCUUCUAUUCUAUUGAAUGAUGCGCUUGCACAAUGUUUUUAUUGAGGCAUGAUAUUAGUUUCGAGAAUGGACGAAUGCAAUUCAAUGUGCAUUCAUUUCAAUGAUUUGCGACACGUGGUGACAGAAUACCCGGGGGCUGACUCAUGGUCCGGGGCUGACUCAUGGUCCGGGGCUGAGCCAUGGUCCGGGGCUGAGCCAUGGUCCGGGGCUGAGCCAUGGUCCGGGGCUGAGCCAUGGUCCGGGGCUGAGCCAUGGUCCGGGGCUGAGCCAUGGUCCGGGGCUGAGCCAUGGUCCGGGGCUGACUUAAAGCCCGGACUGACUGACUCGUGUCGUUUGAUUUGCAACAUUUUCUCAGCAGGUGGAGUGGAAGACUCCGCCGACAUUAGCUCCGCCUCUGGCCAUGCGGUUGAACUCGGCCACCGCCGCCUCCGUCUGCAGGACCCGCACUUGGACGCCCGUCGCAGUCACCUGGUCCACCGUGGACGCUGGAACCUACAAAGGGGAAAGCAGCAACAAGAAGGAAUACCUGCAUGGUGCUCGCACUUAUUGCUUCAUUUUGUGUUUGGAGAACAUUCCUGAAAGCAAGCCAACAUGCUGAAGGUGACUGAAACAGAACAACAACAACAACAAAGAAAACACAUUUUGAUGGCACGAUAAAGUUUUGCAAAUACGUUUGAACAAUGAAAAUCCUACUUUGAAACCCAACCCGAAUAUUAAAACCCUUACAUUUUUGAAACCUUAGCCUAGUAUCAAAGCUUAGCCAACUUUGAAACCUCAGCCAGGUUCGAAACCCUGAUAUGGAAACCUACUGUCAGUGGGAUUUCGGUGAGACUUUGGCUCCAAAGAGAUCGCUGGACGCUCUGUGGCCGCGGUUAUUACUGUGUGCUCACGUCACCCACCUGCAGGGCCAUGUCCAUGCCUCGACCGAUGAGCAGCAGGUCCACUCCGUUGUCCAGCACCUCCUGCAAGUCGGCCACUUGGACGCCGGGACGGUGCUGCAUGGUGAGGAGAGAGAGAGGCCAAAUCAGGUGACGUCACGAAAAGCGCGAGGAGCGGCGCGGAGGCGCGCGCGUAAGCCGAGCUGCCCACCUCGGUGCCGGUGUUGUGCUUGAUUUGGUUCCCCCGUGAGAUUUUGUUCCCCCUGCCGCGGGAGCGCGCACGCCUUUUUGGAAAGCAAAAACCGAUGUCGUACGGCGUCGUACGGCGUCAGCACUACGUUGUUUUCAAUAAAAAACAUGAAGAACUCA